rnacentral:rRNA from 1 species
CCUACGGGAGGCAGCAGUGAGGAAUAUUGGUCAAUGGUCGGGAGACUGAACCAGCCAAGCCGCGUGAGGGAGGAAGGUACAGAGUAUCGUAAACCUCUUUUGUCAGGGAACAAAGGCGGGGACGUGUCCCCGGAUGAGUGUACCUGAAGAAAAAGCAUCGGCUAACUCCGUGCCAGCAGCCGCGGUAAUACGGAGGAUGCGAGCGUUAUCCGGAUUUAUUGGGGUGAAAGGGUGCGCAGGCGGUAUGUUAAGGCAGCGGUCAAAGCCCGGGGCUCAACCCCGGCCCGCCGGUUGAAACGGGCAAUCUCGAGUUGGAGAGAGGUAUGCGGAAUGCGCGGUGUAGCGGUGAAAUGCAUAGAUAUCGCGCAGAACUCCGAUUGCGAAGGCAGCAUACCGGCUCCACACUGACGCUGAGGCACGAAAGCGUGGGUAUCGAACAGGAUUAGAUACCCUAGUAGUC